rnacentral:rRNA from 1 species
GUUAUAGGGUCAAGUGACUAAGAGCAUGUGGUGGAUGCCUUGGCGAUUACAGGCGACGAAAGACGUGAUAGCCUGCGAUAAGCUUCGGGGAGCUGGCAAAUAAGCUUUGAUCCGGAGAUUUCUGAAUGGGGAAACCCACCUCGCAAGAGGUAUCGCAUGAUGAAUACAUAGUCAUGCGAGGCGAACCGGGUGAACUGAAACAUCUCAGUAGCUCGAGGAAAAGACAUCAACCGAGAUUCCGAAAGUAGUGGCGAGCGAAAUCGGAAGAGCCUUCUAUUGAUAGCACGACUGUUAGCAAAACGGAAUGGAAAGUCCGGCCAUAGCAGGUGAUAGCCCUGUAUGCGAAAACAGACGUGUGGUACUAAGGUAGAGACAAGUAGGGCGGGACACGAGAAAUCCUGUCUGAAUAUGGGGGGACCAUCCUCCAAGGCUAAAUACUCGUAAUCGACCGAUAGUGAACCAGUACCGUGAGGGAAAGGCGAAAAGAACCCCGGGAGGGGAGUGAAAUAGAUCCUGAAACCGCAUGCUUACAAAAAGUAGGAGCCCGCAAGGGUGACUGCGUACCUUUUGUAUAAUGGGUCAGCGACUUACAUUCAGUGGCAAGGUUAACCGAAUAGGGAAGCCGUAGAGAAAUCGAGUCCGAAUAGGGCGAAUCAGUCGCUGGGUGUAGACCCGAAACCAAGUGAUCUAUCCAUGGCCAGGAUGAAGGUGCCGUAACAGGUACUGGAGGUCCGAACCGACUAGUGUUGCAAAACUAGCGGAUGAGCUGUGGAUAGGGGUGAAAGGCUAAACAAACUUGGAAAUAGCUGGUUCUCUCCGAAAACUAUUUAGGUAGUGCCUCAAGUAUUACCGUCGGGGGUAGAGCACUGUUUAGGCUAGGGGGUCAUGGCGACUUACCAAACCUAUGCAAACUCCGAAUACCGACGAGUACAGCUUGGGAGACAGAGCACCGGGUGCUAACGUCCGGACUCAAGAGGGAAACAACCCAGACCGCCAGCUAAGGUCCCUAAAAUUGGCUAAGUGGGAAACGAAGUGGGAAGGCUAAAACAGUCAGGAUGUUGGCUUAGAAGCAGCCAUCAUUUAAAGAAAGCGUAAUAGCUCACUGAUCGAGUCGUCCUGCGCGGAAGAUGUAACGGGGCUAAGCCAGUUACCGAAGCUGCGGAUGUGCAAUUUAUUGCACGUGGUAGGAGAGCGUUCUGUAGGCCUGUGAAGGUGUCUGGUAACGGAUGCUGGAGGUAUCAGAAGUGCGAAUGCUGACAUGAGUAGCGUUAAAGGGGGU